GAGGUUGUCUCUGGGUUCUUCCUUUCCUCUGUCUCUUUCUUCGAAUGUAUGGGACAGAGGAGCUGAGCGUCUUGCUAACUCUGUCCAACGGAUUUUAUGUUCGUCAUUUGCAUGUAUCAGGAAGCAGCAAUAAACGUGUGAACAUCAGGUCGGUGGCUGUGUCCUUCUUAAACAAACACAACGCAGAGUGAAACAGCGAGGGGAAGAUAACCUCCGUUACAGUGGUGCCGUGACCCGGAUCUCUGUUCAGCUGUGUGCCGAACACUGGGCUAGCUGCAUCGACAACGCCGACCUGAGACCAUCGACGACGCCGACGUGCGCUGCCACUGACGUUGCUGCUUUUAUAGCGUGCCUCACGCUUGAUGCACUUGCAUGCAUCACCGUGUAUCUUUUGAACUGUUACUGAGUGCAUUGCAAGGGUGAAUGCAUCUGUGGUCUCUGUUAGUGAGGCGGUGCAAAUGAACAAUUCAUAUGUUUGAAUCGUAACACUG
ensembl:lncRNA